CCGAGCAGCAGAGGAGGUAUUGUGCUCGCCGCCGAGGCUGCACUGCCCUGCUGCUGAACAGAGGUGACCUCCUUCCGAGAAUAGCAGCUCAGCCUCUCUUUCUGUAGCUUUCAGUAUGGAAGUGCAGGAUUUCUUGGUACUUGCAGGAAAAAGUAAGGAUUCCGGGUUGAAUUCUACUCCACAGCAACAGCAUCCAAGAUGAGCAGUGGUAGUUAAUAAAAGUAGGUUUUGAUGGACUUUCUCUCCCCAUUAUUAUUCAGAUUAUUAAAAUUAAACACUGCAGAGCGUUUUGCUCUGUCAGGGAUGUGUUUGCUCACUGUCAGCAUUUUGCAGGUCUUAAACAUGGGCCAUCACUGGGAGCAAGUGUGAUAGUGCGAACACCACGGAGCAAUACUUAAACUUCAUCAAUUGUUCGCUGUUAGCCCGUGUUACGCAGGUGUGCUUGCUUGAAGGUGAUUUUCAACAUUUUGCUCACCACCCUUAAAAAUUACUAAGAGAGAGGCAGCAGACCCAGAUGUGCACAACUGAAGGUACUUGUGCUACCAGACCCAAUUUAACUCCUCUCUCUCGUUAUUUCUGAAUAGCCUUUGUUAAGCUGGGUGUGUGUUACAAAUACAUCUGUGUAUUUGGCUGAUGACCUACAGCUGAGACUUUUGACUAACCAGGCAGCUAUUUGCUUGCAGCUCUUCUCACUUGGUAAAUCAUUUUGAGACCGACUUUAUUCAUCUUUAUACUUUGAGCUGGAGUGCUUACAAGAAAGCAGAUGCUUUGAGUACCAAACGAAUCACGCAGCUGGAGCAGUGAUUUCUGACAUGGACAUGGACAGUCAGCGAGGUCCUACAGCGUGCCCAAGCCCAUUCUGCAGCGCUGGGAAGCCGGGAGACACCUCUCCUCUCCGUGAGCUGCAGCCAGCACACCUCCUCCAGGCUGCUCAAGAGAGAUGUGCUCGAGAUACUUUGAAAUAAUAAGAUUUAACACCUGUAAGAUUUAAUACCUGUAGUCAAGCCCUGUGAUAAGGCAUUGUUGUUUACUUUUUACUUGUUUUGCAGCUUUUCCAGUCUAAGAGCUCUAAAAGGUCUUGCUGACUCAAGUGCAUGCCUGCUGACCGGGAUUCACGUGGUGCUUAUGCAGAUGUGUUGGCUUCUGCUCGGCUGUGCUGGCUUCAUGCUGCUGCUUGGUUCUGGACAGGUCCUUAAACUGGCCGUCCAGCAUGUCCAAAAGCAUGUAGCAGCAUGCUUUGGGCACAAUUUAAAUAUCCAGAGGAUUCUGUGUACUUGCCAGGGGAUUAUGGAAGAGCAGACAAGCCAGGCAACUACCUUUUUCUGCUCUUAGUGUUGUAUAUUGCAAGGCUUCUGUGAUGCCUGAGUCAGGGAGGAAUUCGGUCCUGUCUGCAAGGGUCCCGCAGAGCACAUCCUCGCGUGUGGGUGGACUUCACUCAUGUGACACCAAGCUCUUGUUUCGCCAGAAGAGAUCAAUUGCCAGUUGCAAAUUUAAUUCCAGGGCUUCGUGCAGCUUGUGGGCGUAGUUCAGACAAGGAUGGUGGUUUCAUUUGACCUUAAAAUUAGCUGGAUGUUGUAGAGGAGAGGUCAGAUGUGCAUUCAGUAGUCCGUGUGGGUGAGGGACGGCAUUACAACCCUCUGUAUGUCCUGGAGCUUUCAACAUGGUAAAUUCUCAAACACCUGUGUAGGUAUGUAUGGCUGAAGCCCAAACAGCUGAGGUGUAGCUGAAAGCAGGACAACGUACUGCAGGAUGGGGCAGCAUCUCAAAACCAACCAGGUUCAACAGAUCCUCUUGCAGGAACUACUGGAGGAGGGCUUGUUUCCAGCCAGGAACGCAGGGAUGCUCGGAAAUACCGUGUGAGGCUGAGCAACUGUGAUCAGUAACCAGAGGAGACGGGGUUGUGGUUGGGAGCUCUGAAGCUCUUCCCAAAAUCUCUUCAUCAAGAAUUUCCUUUGAAGUGGCAAACUUUGGCUGAUUCUUGUUCAGGGGUGAAGAGGUCUGGUGCUGGCUAGCCAAAAAUGUGCUGGAAAAGGGGAUUCUACAAGUUACUUCAGAGUGAGCUAAAUAACUGCUCGAAUUAUUCUCCCUUUCCCAGCUAGUGGUUUGACUGCUGUGGUCAAGCAGAACAUCAUCUGUUUAUGUUUAGAUAACUCAGACAGAUACAGGCUUCAGGAUCC